GAUGAACGCUGGCGGCGUGCCUAAUACAUGCAAGUAGAGCGAAGAGAUGAGGAGCUUGCUCUUCUUAGAUUAGCUGCGGACGGGUGAGUAACACGUGGAUAACCUACCUUUAAGACUGGGAUAACUUCGGGAAACCGUAGCUAAUACCGGAUAAUAUAUGAAACCGCAUGGUUUAAUAGUGAAAGGCGGUUUUGCUGUCACUUAUAGAUGGCUCCGGGUCGCAUUACCUAUUUGGUAAGGUAAGGGCUAACCAAGGCAACGAUCCGAAGCCGACCUGGGAGGGUAUUCGGCCACCCUGGAACUGGGACACGGUCAGGACUCCUACGGGAGGCACCAUUAGGGAAUCUUCCGCAAUGGGCGAAAGCCUGCCGGGGCACCGCCGCGUGAUUGAUGAGGUUCUUCGAAUCUUAAGACUCUGUUAUUAGGGAAGAACAAAUGUGUAAGUAACUAUGCACGUCUUGACGGUACCUAAUCAGAAAGCCACGGCUAACUACGUG
rnacentral:rRNA from 1 species